GCCUCUGUAGCUCAAAAGAUAGAGCACCACUGACACUUCCUCCUCCUGUCAUGAAGCAUUCAGGUGGAGACCUGGGUUCGAUUUCCAGCAGAGGUA